GAUGAACGCUAGCGGGAGGCUUAAUACAUGCAAGUCGAGGGGUAACAUGUCCGCUUGCGGAUGAUGACGACCGGCGAACGGGUGCGUAACGCGUACGCAAUCUACCUCUAACUGGAGAAUAGCCCCAAGAAAUUGGGAUUAAUACUCCAUAAUAUUCCUAUUAGAUAUCUUUUUGGAAUUAAAGUUCCGGCGGUUAGAGAUGAGCGUGCGUCCCAUUAGCUUGUUGGUAGGGUAACGGCCUACCAAGGCAACGAUGGGUAGCUGGCGUGAGAGCGCGACCAGCCACACGGGCACUGAGACACGGGCCCGACUCCUACGGGAGGCAGCAGUAGGGAAUAUUGGACAAUGGGCGAAAGCCUGAUCCAGCCAUCCCGCGUGAAGGAUGAAUGCCCUAUGGGUUGUAAACUUCUUUUCUUAGGGAAGAAAAAUCUUUAUUUAUAAGGACCUGACGGUACCUAAGGAAUAAGCACCGGCUAACUCCG
rnacentral:rRNA from 1 species